UAACCUCAAUGAACCCCUAAAUUUAAAUUAUCUAAACUUUGUCUAUCAAAAACGAAGAAGACAUUGAAAAAAAAAAACCAUCCACGAAACGGAAGUAGUCUGUAGUUGUAUCUUGUUUACUUGUCACAAGAUAUUUCCAUUUCUCAUUUUCCUUGCAACAAGUUUCAAUUUCAGACAUAAUAACCUAGGCCUUUGGAUUUUCCUUUCUGCUACAAAAAUUCUAAAUAAAUUAGGUUGUCCAAAGCUCUAAUUUCUCAUUAAUUCUUUCAAUUAUUCUUUUCAAUAAUCGAUUUCCAAUUAUCUCAAAACUUCAAAAUUUUGAUUUAUUUUUUUGUUUCUUUCAACUAAUCACCCACACCAUCCAUGGCUACAAUGGUAGCUAUGGUAUCUUCUUCCACCAUAACUCAACAACCCUUUUCUUCAUUCACUCGUGGCUCAAUUCCCAUUUCAAAUCUCACCCCAUCACUCUCUUUCAAAUCAAGAUUAACCUUGUUGAAUCCACAACUCCGUGCUGCUUUGGUUGAAGCAAGACCAUCAUCAUCACAAACUUCAGUUUCUUUACCAAUACCACCACCUAAAGAUGGUUCCUUCAAGGUUCUUGCUCUUCCAAUGGAUCGUGCUGAUGAUAUUCAAGCUGAGGCAAAAGCUUUGACUCGUGCUGUCAAUGCGUCUGUUUAUAGUCCUCAACUUAUUUCCUCAAGAUAUGGUUCUAAACCCUUCAAGAUUUUUGGAAGGGCAUUUCAGAUUGUGUUUGGUUUGGGUUCUUUUGGGUUGAAGCUUUGGUGGGAGCAAAGAAAUGGAGUUGGUGAUAAGAAUAGAAGGAUUCGUGCUAUUGAGCUUAGGAAUAUAUUCACUAAGCUUGGACCAACUUUUGUCAAAUUGGGUCAAGGGUUAUCUACUAGGCCUGAUAUUUGUCCACCUGAGUAUCUGGAGGAGCUCUCUGAACUUCAAGAUGGUUUGCCAACGUUUCCUGACGACGAGGCUUUUGAAUGCAUUGAGAGGGAAUUGGGAUUAUCUCUUGACUCUAUUUACUCUUCAAUAUCAUCAUCGCCUAUUGCAGCUGCUAGUUUAGGUCAGGUUUAUAAAGCUCGGUUGAAGAACUCUGGGAAACUUGUUGCUGUCAAGGUGCAACGCCCUGGCAUCGAAGAAGCUAUAGGAUUGGAUUUCUACCUAAUAAGAGGUUUAGGGUUUCUGAUAAAUAAAUAUGUGGAUGUAAUCACAAGUGAUGUUGUUGCACUUAUUGAUGAAUUUGCAAGUAGAGUCUUUCAAGAGCUCAACUAUGUGCAGGAGGGACAAAAUGCAAGGAGAUUCAAAAAAUUGUAUGCCGACAAGGAAGAUAUCUUUGUUCCUGAUGUUUUUUGGGACUAUACAAGUGCAAAGGUACUAACAAUAGAUUGGGUUGAUGGAGUAAAAUUGAAUGAGCAAGAAGCAAUUGAAAGACAAGGACUAAACGUCUUGGAUCUCGUAAACACAGGCAUACAAUGUAGUCUCAGACAACUGCUCGAGUAUGGAUAUUUCCAUGCAGAUCCUCAUCCUGGUAACCUUUUGGCAACUCCCGAAGGAAAACUCGCUUUUCUUGAUUUCGGGAUGAUGAGUGAAACUCCUGAAGAAGCAAGAUAUGCGAUAAUUGGUCACGUUGUUCACUUGGUUAACCGAGACUAUGAAGCUAUGGCUCAGGACUACUAUGCUCUCGAUUUCUUAUCUAGGGAUGUUGAUGUAUCUCCAAUUGUUCCUGCACUACGUAACUUUUUUGACGAUGCACUUAAUUAUACUGUUAGUGAGCUUAACUUCAAAACAAUUGUGGACGGUCUCGGAAAUGUUUUGUAUCAAUAUCCAUUUAAUGUGCCAGCAUACUACGCAUUGAUAUUAAGGUCUCUCACUGUUUUAGAAGGUUUAGCACUUUAUGCCGAUCCAAAUUUUAAGGUGCUUGCAGCAUCAUAUCCCUACUUUGCUAAAAGACUCCUAACAGAUCCAAAUCCAUAUCUAAGGGAUGCUCUUAUUGAGUUGCUUUUCAAGGAUGGGAAGUUCAGAUGGAAUAGGCUUGAAAACCUUCUAGUACAAGGGAGAAAAGAUAGAGAUUUUUCUGCUAAAGAGGCUUUACAACCUGUCCUUCAGGUAUUGUUGAGUCCUGAUGGUGAAGUUUUGAGGAAUCUAGUUAUCAAAGAAGCUGUUCGCGUAUCUGAAGCUUUUACUCUCGGCACAAUUUCUGACACAUACCAGUAUAUUCCCGACUUUUUGAGGACCCUUGUCUUCAAUGGCAAUGCAAAGGAGCCACUUAUGAUGUCAGAAACCGAAAGGCAAAGCAUGAUUGAACUUCGAGAUCAAGUGAUUAGGAUAUGGAGGCUUCUGCAAUCGUCAAAUGAUUUUGAUCCAUCUCUUUUACAACCAAUACUACAGGUCCUUCAGCAACCUGAGGCACGCAGACUCGGUGGGCGUGUUGUGGGUGGAAUCACUCAACGGCUUGCUGCACGCUUUCUACUGCAACUACUUGGAGCACCAACAACAGCUUCUACAUAGAUUUUGUAUAACAGUAAAGGCUAAAUAAGGUUAUUGUAUACAUGGAAGAUAGGAGUUACUUAACACAUGAUUGAAAAUAUAAAAUUGAAGGACAAAACAUAUAUGCUUUUGGAGCAACCAAGACCCAAUGCAGGUGGUGUUCAAUAGCCAGUGCGAUUAUCGUGUCAAUUUUUCGAAGCAUCUAUACAUGCACAAAGGAAAGUACAUAGACUCCUUGUCAAUUACAUUUCCCCAUUUGGGUUAUGAGCCUUUCAUAACUGAUUAUGAUCACAAUCCAAAUUCUAUUUUCGCUGUACAAAUCAAGAUGUUUGUGGUUACUCUGAUUAAUGAUUACAAUAUCUUUUAGAGAAAA